rnacentral:rRNA from 1 species
AACCGGAACGACAGGUGCUGCAUGGCUGUCGUCAGCUCGUGUCGUGAGAUGUUGGGUUAAGUCCCGCAACGAGCGCAACCCUUGUCAUUAGUUGCCAUCAUUUGGUUGGGCACUCUAAUGAGACUGCCGGUGACAAACCGGAGGAAGGUGGGGGAUGACGUCAAGUCCUCAUGGCCCUUAUGGGUAGGGCUUCACACGUCAUACAAUGGUCGGUACAGAGGGUUGUCAACCCGCGAGGGGGAGCUAAUCCCACAAAGCCGAUCGUAGUCCGGAUCGCAGUCUGCAACUCGACUGCGUGAAGUCGGAAUCGCUAGUAAUCGUGGAUCAGCAUGUCACGGUGAAUACGUUCCCGGGUCUU